rnacentral:lncRNA from 1 species
GUGGGCUCCCACAGGAGUGAGCAGCAAGGUUCUCAAAACCUGUAGUAUUUUCAUCAAGACAACUUCAUCAUUCGCAUGAUCUGUACCCACAAAUCGGGCAUGAGUGACAGCAUCUGCCAUGUUCUCCAUUCCCUCAGCUGUGCCUUCAUGGCUGGGAUCUAUCAGUGCAUAUGAGAGGAACUUAUUCACAGAGGUGAGGGCCAACCCAGUUAUAGGACCUGUAGUGUCUUCAGAACGGAUCACUUCGAGGAAAGGUCGAAGAAAGACGUUGGGUUCAAUUUCAGAUAGCUCUGUUAUAUUAUUCAGCACUUCUUUCAAGACACUAAAGCUAUGCAGCAAGGGAUCCCUUUCUUCAUCCAGGUGUGUGUGAGUGCUCCACCGGGCAUUACGCUUGAUGGCUCCCACCACUACAUUGAUUUCGCCUUGUACAAUGUAAAUGUUUUUAUCCACCAUCUUGACAACCCCCCGCAUCCAAAAUGGCGGCGCCUGCUCCCCGCGGCGGCGGCCGCUUCACACAUCGGUCGGGCGGGCGGCGCCGCGAGCGGGGGCUCGGCCCGGCCCUGCCACUGGCCGCCCGCCCCUUCCUCCCGGCGGCGGCGGGCGAGGCGGCCGCGCACGGGGUCCUCCCGUCCACAGGCAAACGGAACCGGCUCGGCUACCCUCGCACUGACGUGGAAACGGGCGCACCCGAACCCGCUGCCUGGUUACUGUGCCGACGGACAGCCCGCGGAGCCAACCCCCGUGCGGCGUGGCGGCCGGCUCGCCGGGCUGCCCAAUAGAAUCGCGGACCGAAGCCGGAGGAGGCGGGUUAUCCAGUGACAAGCCAAAGAGAACCA